UGUUAAUUACAAUGAUCUGUUUACCAGACACUGGGAAAUGCACUUUUCAUCCAGUAUCUCAUUUUGUCCUCGAAACAGCCCUCGCGGCAGCUCUGUUUGUAUUCCACUGCUGCAAUAUGCAAUAACAAGCUACCACACACCUGGUGACCUGAAACAGUUUGUCACUCACAGUUCUGGAGGUCAGAAGCCUGAAAUAAGUCUACUAGGUGAAGAUCAAGGUGUGGGCCUGGCUGCAUUUCUUCUGGAGGAUCUAUGGAAGAAUCUUGUUUACUUGCCUUGUCCAGCUUCUCAGUCAUUAAUGAUAUUUGAGGCCCUAUGCAGACUGAGUUGAGCAUUUCUCCUAGAGCGAUACUGACGGAGACUGCCGGGGCCAGCAACAAGGCUGCUUUGUUUGAGGAACUCUGUACCUUGUUAACAUAAAAGUGUAUCUGGAAGAACUAUAGCUGCUGAGCCAAAAGCUAGAGAAAUCAAAGGCAGCCUUUACAAUGUGAUGCUGCAGUUUUAUAUUUAUGUCUUUAUAACUGUGAAAAAACACCUCACGAACAUUCCUUACAGAAAAAUAACUUUCCUGCUGUAAGUCUAAAUCUCCCAGACUCCUUCACUCACUUUCCCCCACUGAAGGCACUGUCUUUAUAAUAAAGUGUUUGAUGAGUUUUUCUAGAAACGCAACUGAUCAUAGCAGAACUGUUGAUAUUAAUAGCAAUUUGGUAGGAGGCUGGUAGGUAAGAGGGAAGGUGCUAUGGGGGAAAUCAUUAUCUAAAUUUUUUUAAAAAUUAU